CCCUUAGAUGUCCUGGGCCGCACGCGCGCUACACUGAUGCAUGCAACGAGUUUAUAACCUUGGCCUGAAAGGUCUGGGUAAUCUUUUGAACGUACAUCGUGAUAGGGAUAGAUUAUUGCAAUUGUUAAUCCUGAACGAGGAAUUCCUAGUAAACGCGAGUCAUCAGCUCGCAUUGAUUACGUCCCUGCCCUUUGUACACACCGCCCGUCGCACCUACCGAUUGGAUGGUCCGGUGAAGCCUCGGGAUUGUGGUUCUUGCCGCUUUAUUGUGGCGUGACCGCGAGAACUUGUCUAAACCUUAUCAUCUAGAGGAAGGUGAAGUCGUAACA
rnacentral:rRNA from 1 species